ensembl:lncRNA
AACUCACAAGCCACCCUACAAUAACAUGCACAGGGCACUCACGAGAGCAGUCCCAAUGUAACUGACGGGUACGUGGCUGUCGAGUCCGUGCAAAACAUGGUACCUGAAUGUCAGGAGUCCCGGAAGGGGAAGACAGCAGUGCCAGCAGUGAGGUUUUGAGAGGCACACGAAACAACUAGUUGAGAAGGAGUUACAAAUCCAGGGCAAACGCCCAGGCAAUACCCCACCUUCUUCUCAUAAGAGGCAUAUAGCCAACACCCCAUCAUACUGGUAAUCAGGGCCCUGGAUAAUGUGGGGUUUGUUUGCUGCUAAUAUAGCCAUUGUAUCUACCCUAGCUGCAGAGCCCUGCUCCUGAACUGAGGCACCAGGACUGCAAGUUACAGCUCUGCUGGCUGAGAGCUUUCUGAAUGGGAACACAGAGCAACCCUCCCUGUCUCUACACAUUCUAGCUCAGCAACGUGUGCUACACCCAUUCAUCUGAACGCAGAACUAGCUCUGAAACUCAUGAUAAGGCCUUAAAUGCCAUCACACAGCUCAUUUAUUUCCCCACUGUCCCGAAGUGCUUCCCAGGUGCUGAAAUCCUGGCUGCCAAAACCUCCAUAGCCUCUGCCGACAACCUCAGUGACAUAGCUCUGCGUUGCAGCACCUUCCCUGCUGCUGCGGGCAGGGUGCUGCCAGAGGCUGUGCGUUCAGCCACAAGACGCCAGGAGCACUGAGGGUGGUCGCUGUGCCUGGCACGCAGCUGGGGAACCGAGGCCCCUAGGGGACAUGCCAUGUCCCCACACAGAGGGGAAGCGUGUGCCAGAGCAGCAGCAGCAGCCGGUGCCUCUCUUUUUCCAUGCGUCUGUCCCCUCCUCAAAGCAAUUUAGCAAUUUUCUUCGCCUUGAUGCCAGUGGCAUUACAUAAGUGUAACCUGGUUGUGAGAUCACGAUACGACACGUCGAUUAGCCAGGGAGGCACAAGGUCAUAACCAGCCUGAGGAAGGAGAGGCAGGCUGUGCAUACACACAAACACACCUAGGUGGAUGUAUAUAAACACACGUGGGCCCCUGGUGUUCCCAUCGCAGAUGUGCUGUGCGUGGCACAUGUCAGCCGGGGCAGGCUAUCGACCGCUGCCUGUGUUUCUGCAUCAGAACCUUUCGGUUUUCCCUUUCAGGCUUGGAGUUACUUCUCUUUUACAUAAAUAGCACCACUCGAGGCUGCCUUCCCGAUAGGUGGAAUAGUUUCCCCUUGAGAAGGAACUGGUGGAAAUCCCCUCUCUUGAGACAUUUUAACUCUGCCAAAAAAUGUACAAUGGGAGUGACUGCUUUAACUAGCAAGCUGACUUUGGAUGAGCUAAUGGAUUUUUCCAUCACUAGUGUCUAGUUCCAGGGAUUUCCAUGAAUUGCUGUCAGGACAGAAGAAGGCAACAGAUUGCAACUGCGGGAUCUGCUGUUUCAGCUCCACUGACACGUCAUUCCCUCAGGACACCCAGUGACCUGGUUAAUCUAGUUCCUUGCUUCUGACUUCUCCUCGUAAAUGAUUUAUCAACUGGCGUGGAUCCCUGUUUGCUUAAGGAGGCGUGUGACGACCUCUCGCAGGCUGGCUGCACAGAGCCACGGCUGUGUUUGGCAGCCGGCUGCCGGCCGCAGCUCGUGACCCUUGGCUGGGGGAGCAGGGGAUGGGCAGCAGAGCCCGGUGGGUGAUGUUUAUGAGGCUGGCCGGAGGGCGCUGGUGACCAAGCUGCAGGCUCGGCAGUGGGAACACUCGCCUAGGACCUGCCUCGGCCCACUCUGACCCCCAGGCGAGGCAGCAUCCGUGGGGUGACAUCAGUGUCACGUCUGAAGCAGAUGCAGCUCUGGAAGUCUUCACGUGCACACGUAGGGGCAGCACGUGGCAGUAAGGCGAGGAGGAAGCCCACCACAGCCAGCCCACUCCGCAGCAGCGCCGUGUCGCACCACCCGAAGGCCACACAUCAUCAGGAGGGCUGGGCUGCAGCGAGGAACCUGCAGCCACAUGCAGGCAGAGGCAAGGGUGUGUUCCUUCCCGCAUAAGGGUGGGUCUGGAGCAGCCUGCAGCUUCAUGGGACCUCAGGGGUGGUCGUUCCUCUUAGCCCACAAGGGUGGAAGUUGCAGCUCCUGUUCCCUUUUUCGGGGUCACGCCACCUUCUUCUGCCUCAGCAGGAACCUCUGUGUUCACGCCCCAUGUGCUCCCACUGCACACCUCCUACAGCAGACCAACAGCGUGGAAGGACAGACAGCUGGCAGAGCGUGUGAGGGCUAAUCCCACCUCACCAGGAGCACCACAGCCACUCUGCUGCUCAAAUCCCAAACCCGCGUCCCCAACAACGAGUUCAGUCUAGGCUGGUCUCCCAUGUGCCCCAUGAGAUGCUCAUCAUAGUAACAAAGCAGAGAGGUGGGACGGGAGAAGAGGCAGAGGCCAAUGAGUUAUCCCGAAAUCAUAUUUCUAACCUUCUAAUAUGUGUGGAUUUGCCUCAGACGUAACUUCAGUCCGAAUUCCCAAGUGCUGAUAGAUUUGUGAGUGGAUAACACAAGGCUCAGGCUUAGCAACAAGCCCGAGCUCACUGACUUCACACCGCCUGUCCCAUGCACCGUCUCGCUCUCCAAACAGCAGAGAGGAGCCUGGUCCGUGUAGGAACUAUGUCCUUCCAAGCAGCACAAGUACUCCUGACUCUAACCCCUUGGAACUCAAACACAUUUACCAAGGACAGCACAGAUGCAAGUGAUGCAAGUACAAAACUCCCCAAAAACAUUCCCGUGUCCCUAGGGCACUGAAACAAGAGCCAGGAUUUCUCAUUGACCUCCUCCGUGGCAGGUGCACAGGUUUAGCAACUACGCACUAAAGAGAGCAGCCAGAAACCAUUUGGCAGAGACAGGACCAGAACCUGCUUCCUCUCAUCUCCAGCUGCCCAGGUUGCUCAGAAUCAUAGAAUCAUUAAGGUUGGAAAAGACCACUAAGGUCAUCCAGUUCAGCCAUCCGCCUACCACCACUGUUGCCCACUAAACCAUGUUCCUUAGUACCACAACUACACGUUCCUCCAACACCUCCAGGGGCAGCUUCCAAGUGCCUGGCUUUGUUCCGGUCCUGGCAACACAGGGCGAUUUUCUGGUCUUUCUUUUCUAUAUCCGAAAGGGUUUUUAAUUUGCAUUUUUUACCACAACCAAUCGCAGAUAUUUUCAUUGAACUGUUCACGCAGAAACCAUUUUAUUGAGCUGUUCUGGUUUUGGUGUGCUUAAAUCAUCCAGCUGGCAGAGCAGGCUAGUGCAUGACAGUGAAGUCACAUACCUCUCUGCUGGAUCUGACCGUAGGAGAUCCUACCAGGUCAAGGUUGCAGCUGCGUGUCACGCAGUCGUGGCAUCCAAAGUUACCGUCGCUCUUUGAGGAAGACUGGCUCGGAGCUGAGAGGCAGCUGACCACGGUUUCUUAUCCAGGUCCCCUGCUGAUGAGGCUCAGACUAAAUCUGCUGGCAAAACCUAACAAGAUUGCAAGCAGAAGGACACAGCUACGGAUAAAUAGAAUAGCAGGAAGGCCAGAUUGCUUCUCUGACAGCUCCGUGACCUGACAGCUGCCCACAGUCUGAGCAGUGCUGCUCCUGACCAGGAGAGCCAACCUGCUGCGAGCUGCUGCAGCUCAGUGCACGAGUGCUGGGGGAACAUCCAGGGCCCCAAGAGGACAUCCUUCCUGUAUUAGUAUUGCCUCCCUGAACUAUCAAUUAAAAAGAACGCCACAAUUCUGUACCCUGUGGAUGCCGCCUGCCUUCUGUGCGCGCACAAAUCCCACUACGAGAGGUACUGUAAGUACUGAGGUGUUAAAGACGCCAGAGGGAGCCCAGUGGGAUUUCAGAAGAGCAGCGGUCCCGACUGCUUUGGAUGUCAGCGCAGGUCGGACGUGUGAGCCCCAGGCCCCGCCUGUAGGGCCCCACCACCUUUGGAACCUGGUUCCCUCAGCUCCCUCUGUGAAUACGGCAGUUAGCUCCCAGGGUAUUGCGAGGAUGGAAAAAGUAAAGACUAUGAGUUCUCAGGAAAUAUUGAAACGGGGUCAACUGAGUAACAUUUAAGUCAAUUAGAAAGACGGUCUGUUAACAGUCUGUUAAUAGCUGGCUGAGAUGGAUUCCCAUGAUUCCCGGUGCCAGCAUCUCCGCUCACACAAGGAAAUAUUUAUGACUCUUCUCCCUCAAAAGCCCGGUUAACCUCAUUUAAAGCAGAGAGCACGAAGAUAGAUCUAUCAACAUUAGGGACAUCAACUCUCCCUUUUUGUCCCCACGAUUACAAGAGAAAAGGAGAAUUCAAACCUUAAAGUGGGAAGUGAAUUACGCAGAGUGGCCGCAGAUGGGAGCCAUUAAAUGCCCGGCUGCGUUUUUUUAAUUGAAACAAUACAGCAAUUUACUAUACAAAUAGCUCUGGCAGAGCGCUGCUCUGGUGCUGUGGAAGCUGCCCGCCCCGCGUCCCACGGGUCACACACGGCAGCACGGCGCGGACCUCCCGCUCCCAGCACAGCCGCCGGCACCCGGGGCGAGGCGCACCCCUGGGCACAGCACCGCGGCUCCGCCUCGCUUUCCAGACGACUCCAGGAACGUCAGGACGAGCUCCCAGCGGCAGCUCCCGGCCCAUUACCAAAUACAGAGUCCAGAGGGAAGCGAGUCCUCGCUCCUCCUUUUGGGCGAGGCGAAGGGGAAAAAACAAAGCCGGAUGGGUCCCACUGUCAUCUUGACUGCCCGCGGGUUUUGGUCUGAGCUCCCGAAGCUUUAGGCCUGCCUGUAAGUCCAGCUUUGAAAGGGAAGGCGUUUAUUUUCAGUUUUCUGACGAGUGAGUAAUGGGGCUGCCAUCUAGAGGCCACUGCAACUUUCCAGCACAUUCCUUCGGACAGGAGUGGCAUUGUCAAUAACCUCCUCCUCCCACUACCUCCUCAUGAAGGACUUCUCGCUUCUAAAUGAAACUGUUACAGUACAAAGCAGUUCUCCAUCCACAUCCCUGCCCACGGCGGUGGGCUGGAACUGGGUGAUCUUUAGCGUCCCCUCCAACCUGAGCCAUUCUAUGACUGUGUCAUCUCUCAUUCAACGAUUGCAAAUUCUGCCUCAAUCAAUCCGGCUUAAGAAGGAGCUCUACUGAUAGGUAAUCUGUGUAUCCACUGCAGGAAUGGGAUGCUGGGAGUGCUGGCUCUAUGAGUCUCAGCUCCAUCCUUCCAUCCUGUCCCUGAGCUGAACAGCACCAGCCAAACUGGGCCAAACUCAGCGGGAUCCACUUUAGACCCUGCCUUGCAUAGAAGUCGGCUGCUGCAAAUGUGAACAGGAGGCAGAUACAGGGCAGCCAUGGCCACCCACCGCUCACCACGUGAGCUGCCUGCUCACUUGUGCUAAACCCUGUGCCCAAAUGGAGCGGCCCGGCAGGCUGCAGGGCAGCAGGGAGUGAGGGCCGCACUGUGCUGCGCAGGCCUGGCAGCAGAGGAACCCCACUCCAGUGCUUUGCAGAGCACUUCAAAUUUGCUUGCAGACUGCCUGCCUCGCACCCCGCACCCACCAAUUGCAAAAUCCCCUGUUGAUAUGACUAAGAGUCACGCUCUGCAGCCUCAGCUUUGGGUUCUACCUCUCUCGGUCCUGAAAUGGGGACAGGGAAGUGCCAGAUGCUUUCUGUUCUCCUUGCUCAGGACUCUGCGACCAUGGGUGUUUUUGAGUCAGCGGUGCUCAAGGGACCUUUCAGUCAGCAUAACUGCGUGAGUGGCCAAAUAAAAACAGGCCCAAACGCCAAUGGGGCUCUGCUUACAUCAAGGAAAGGGGAAGCAGCUCUUCUACAGCGAGCGCUAGCGA